rnacentral:miRNA from 1 species
AUCAGCAGUUGUCCAUUGACGUU